rnacentral:rRNA from 1 species
UUCUGGUUGAUCCUGCCAGAGGCCACUGCUAUCGGAGUUCGAUUAAGCCAUGCGAGUCGAGAGGUGCAAGACCUCGGCAUACUGCUCAGUAACACGUGGACAAUCUAACCUAUGGAAGGGGAUAACCCCGGGAAACUGGGGAUAAUACCCUAUAGACUAUGAAUGCUGGAAUGCUUUGUAGUCCAAAGGUCAGCCGCCAUAGGAUGGGUCUGCGGCCGAUUAGGUUGUUGUUGGGGUAACGGCCCAACAAGCCUGUAAUCGGUACGGGUUGUGGGAGCAAGAGCCCGGAGAUGGAUUCUGAGACACGAAUCCAGGCCCUACGGGGCGCAGCAGGCGCGAAAACUUUACAAUGCGGGAAACCGUGAUAGGGGAACUCCGAGUGCCCGUUAAAUCGGGCUGUCCAUCAGUUUAAAUAACUGGUGAAGAAAGGGCCGGGCAAGACCGGUGCCAGCCGCCGCGGUAAUACCGGCGGCUCGAGUGGUGGCCACUAUUACUGGGCUUAAAGCGUUCGUAGCUGGUUUGUUAAGUCUCUGGGGAAAUCUUCCGGCUUAACCGGAAGGCGUUUCAGGGAUACUGGCAGACUAGGGACCGGGAGAGGUGAGGGGUACUCCAGGGGUAGGAGUGAAAUCCUGUAAUCCUUGGGGGACCACCUGUGGCGAAGGCGCCUCACCAGAACGGCUCCGACAGUGAGGGACGAAAGCUGGGGGAGCAAACCGGAUUAGAUACCCGGGUAGUCCCAGCCGUAAACGAUGUGCGUUAGGUGUAUCGGUGACCACGAGUCACCGAGGUGCCGAAGAGGAAUCGUGAAACGUACCGCCUGGGAAGUACGGUCGCAAGGCUGAAACUUAAAGGAAUUGGCGGG